rnacentral:lncRNA from 1 species
UUUUAAAUCACUGUAUACUAACCUAUUUCUUUAUUCAUUAAAUUACUUUUUUAUUUUAGGUUUAUUCCCUGACAGGGAUGGAACGCAAGGUUGGGUUCAGAGCUGGGCAGGACCUCCAGGUUUGGUCCCAGGUUUGCCUGAACCUCCGGGUUUGGUCCCAGGUUUGCCUGAACCUCCGGGUUUGGUCCCAGGCUGGGCUGAACUUCUGAGUUUGAUCCCGACCUGGUACUUAACUCCAGAAGCAGCAGAAGACACAGAAGCACCAGAAGACACAGAAGCCCCUGAGGAGGACCUUCCUGAGUGGACUGCUUUUUCCUUCUACGAGGUGACCCCUGUCUGGGAGACCCCUGAGGAGUCUGCUUCCUCAGCCUCCAGUGACUCUGAAGAUGACAGUCACUGCGAGCCUGGGGCGAAGAGGCCGAGACUGGACGACAGCUCUGACUCAUCUUAGAGUCAUCUGUGCUUUUCCUUUUCCUGCUCCUCUGGGUUGAGUUAUGUUAGAGUUAAGAAUUAGAGAAAACCUUUUUAAUCCCAGCAAGUGAGGACAGGAGGAGACUUUAUCAACCAAAACAAUGAGCACCAGCAUCCACAGCUGCCUGAGGAGAAACAUCAGCAGAAAGCAAAACAAUUAAUGUAAGUAAAGCCUCUCAUUGCCACAGAAAGACACUGAACUAAUGUUUAAUAUAAAAAUAGACGUGACUUUAUACUAAUGCCUGUAAAAUAUUGUACUGGAACAACGGCAUCCACUGAUGGAGGAGGAUGAUGAUGAAGAUGGAGGAUAGGAGCACCAGCAUCCUGAGGAGGAAAACAUCAGCACAGGACAGAAAGACUUCUAUUAACCAAUACAAUACAGGAGUGCCAGCAUCCACUGAUGGAGGAGGAUGAUGAAGAUGGAGGAUAGGAGCACCAGCAUCCACAGCUGCCUGAGGAGGAAACAUCAGCACAGGACAGAAAGACUUCUAUUCACCAAAACAAUCAAUAGUUUUGCUUCAGAGGAGAAUCAGACAGUUCCAGCUGUUCGUCACCAGCACUGCAGUGUUUACACAGACUGCUUUGGUUUCAACUUUCUACAAAAAACUGUUGAACUUUCAACUCACUUUCCAUCUGAAUCCAAGCUCAUCUUCAUCACUGGGAUGUUUCUUCAUCAGUUCUUCGUACAGACUGUCACAGCUCACACAUGGAGAAGAUGAUUUAUGGAAUAUGACAUUUAGACUUUUCCUUUUCUCAACAGUAUGAUGCAGUAUGAUGUUGAUUUAUUGAUCAUGUACAAUCUAAUGGUUCCCAGUUCUCUCCCAGUAGGUGUGACACGGACAUCUGCACACAUGUAAUGGUUUAUAAAUGAAUGCAC